rnacentral:lncRNA from 1 species
UUCCUGAUUAGUUUUUCUAAUUUCUUUAUUUAGGUGUUGAGAACCUUUUGUGACCCCACAGUUUAAGUGCCUUUAACAAGUGCAUAGUGAGCAGCGGUUGUUACAGACAAACGUUCACAUAAUCUGCCCCAGUCAAUGGGAUAAUUUAAGGUUGUCAAUCAAUGGCCACAGCUACACUGUUUUGAAUAUGAUUCUAUUAUAC